GUGCCGGACGCGCUGCUGCCUCGGGCGCUCCCAGGUCCGCGCGGAGGCGGGGAGCCGCCCCUCCCCCUUUGGUCGUACAGGGGACAGGACGGAGUCCCGCCUCACCCGCAUUGCAGCGUUGCAUGUUUGAUGACUGUGCACAGUGGUGUUGGAGCUCUGUUGGUCCCAGGAUAUUAGAGAGACAAGUAAUCUGGAUCACAAUAUAUACUGGAAACUGGAAGUUCAGGGAUGAUAUUCCAUGAUGUCACCUAGCAACCUAAUGUGCCUCCAAAUAAACAGCCUUCUACCAUGGCUCUUUGGCUGGGAUGAUGAUUAGAAGCUAGAACACUAAAACCUUUCCAUGGAUCAGAUGGAUGGAUGCAGGGCCAAAGCUCUUCUGUCAAAGACUAAUUUGUCUCAUCAUCCAACUCCUGGGAAACCUGGUGUUAUCUGUAGGUCUUCCACAUGGCCAGACAACCUCUUGUCCCUUUUUGAAUGAACAAUAUUUCAAAGUUCAAAUGCAACAAGUUUAGCAUCUGAUACAAACUCUACCGGGGACUGCAAUCUGUAUUCAUAGAAGAGACUUGAAAAUUUGGGGUUGGGAGCAGGUGUAGGGUGAAGUAGUACUGAUACUCUACACAAGCUCUACUCAUGAUCCCAAACUCCACCCACCAUCCCAGAAUAUAUAGGUGUUUUAUCCUAAAUGUUCAUCAGUGAAACAGUUAACAGCAUUGACAUUUAAAAUGUCAGCAGCAGUCUGGUAUUAACAGCCCACUGAGAGGAAAUGGAAUAGUCCACUCCCCUUGUCAAACUAUUGUUACAUUCUCUCUCCUUGAAGACAAAGCUACAUC